ACUGAAAUCAGCCGGGCGUAGAAUUAGCGGUGUCUAUUUUUAUCAAGAUGUCUCUGCUGAUUUAAGUUUACAUUAUGUAGACAUAGUACUAGAGCCGAUUUACGCAAUCGAAUACCGCCGGAAGUAGAACAUUUAUGUCAACACCGGUUUCGUAUUUUCACGUGAAAUCGGCCGAAAACUGAGAGGUUAUCAACAAAUUAUAAGUUUACGGGUACCAUGAGGAUUUUUCAUGCAUUUAAACGACAGAAGUACAAGUGAACAGAUGACACAUUAAAGUGGCUGCAGAAGCUUGAAAAGUUAGAUAGAGCAGGGACAGUCAAAACUGUGGGAUAAUACUUCUAUGGUGUCCAGCAUGUCUAGUCAGGUUGACAGAAGUGAAAGAUGGUCUGAUGGUACAGUGAUGUACAAAUGAUACUCUUUAACAAGUUUAACAUGUCAAAGUGUAAAAUGUUCUGUGGAUUCAUAUGAUGAGAAUGCCAAUGUUGAUCUGUAUGACUUAAUUAAACACAGAUAUUUAUACCUUCAGCAUGUACAUUUGCAUCCAUGAUGGCACGGCAAAAUUGGAUUGAAAAAGAACUCUGGUUAAUGAAGUUCUACCCAAAGGAUCAAAGAAUGUACAUGUAGCAAAUUUUACAAAAUAAAAGAUGGAUGGUGUGAACGCCAUUUUGGUUCAGAAGUGGCACAACAUGAGGUCCCAUUCUUUUACAGUCGA
rnacentral:lncRNA from 1 species